rnacentral:rRNA from 1 species
AGCGAACGCUGGCGGCAGGCCUAACACAUGCAAGUCGAACGGAUCCUUCGGGAUUAGUGGCGGAGGGGUGAGUAACACGUGGGAACGUGCCCGUUGGUUCGGAACACCACAGGGAAACUUGAGCUAAUAUCGGAGGUGCCCUUCGGGGGAAAGAUGUAACGCCAUUGGAGCGGCCCGCGUCUGAUUAGCUAGUUGGUGAGGUAACGGCCCACCACGGCGACGAUCAGUAGCUGGGCUGAGAGGAUGAGCAGCCACACUGGGCCUGAGACACGGCCCAGAAUCAUACGGGAGGCAGCAGUGGGGAAUCUAGCGAAAUGGGCGGAAGCCUGACGCAGCCAUGCCGCGUGAAUGAUGCAGGUCUUAGGAUUGUAAAAUUCUUUCAGCGGGGACGAUAAUGACGGCACCCGAAGAAGAAGCGCCGGCUAACUUCGUG